rnacentral:rRNA from 1 species
AAUGAACGUUAGCGGCAGGCUUAAUACAUGCAAGUCGAGGGACAGCACAGGUAGCAAUACUGGGUGGUAACCGGCAAACGGGUGCGGAACACGUACACAACCUUCCUUUAAGUGGGGGAUAGCCCAGAGAAAUUUGGAUUAAUACCCCGUAAUAUAGUUGAAUGGCAUCAUUUGAUUAUUAUAGCUACGGCGCUUAAUGAUGGGUGUGCGGCUGAUUAGAUCGUUGGCGGGGUAACGGCCCACCAAGUCUACGAUAAGUAGCUGAUGUGAGAGAAUGAUCAGCCACACGGGGACUGAGAAAGGGGCCCGACUCCUACGGGAGGCAGCAUUAAGGAAUAUUGGUCAAUGAAGGGAAGUCUGAACCAGCCAUGCCGCGUGAAGGAUUAAGGUCCUCUGGAUUGUAAACUUCUUUUAUUUGGGACGAAAAAGGGCCUUUCUAGGUCAACUGACGGUACCAGAUGAAUAAGCACCGGCUAACUCCGUGCCAGCCGCCGCCGUAACAC